rnacentral:lncRNA from 1 species
UACAAGUGGGUGCUUCUGUGCUGCCGCCUGCUCAUCCUAGAGGACAAAGCAAAGCAGGGCCACGCGUUGGGGUGAGCGCAGGUUUGGGCACUCGGAAGCCCUCCUUCGUCCCCACAACCAGAGGGAGGCCCAUAUCCCCUGCGGUGGCCCGGAGUGUAUCUGCGGUCUUUGAAAACUAGGAUCGGCAUAAAAUCAUCAUAGAAUCACCAAGGUUGGAAAAGACCUCCAAGAUCAUCCAGUCCAACCGUCCAUCAGUCACCAGUAUUGUCUGGAUGAAAGCGGAAAUUACUAUUUAAGAAGUAUCGUGAACUGUGUUGCAAUUCCUUCAACAAUUUCCAAGUAAUGUUUCUAGUCCCUUUUAUACCGAAUACAGCUUUGCCUGCAAGGUGGUAAUGGCAUAAAAACUUGACAAAACUUCAAUGACGUUUCAAUUAAUGCAUUGUUUAGGUGUAGUUAUGUUUCAUUUGAAGGUGGUGAAUAGAAACAUGAGUCCGCACACAGAAGACACGUAUGACUCUUGCAUAGCAAAUUAAGGUCAGAAUGUGAGUAUAGGAAUGUUUUUUAUUUUUGAGACCUGAAAAGAUAGUUGUCAGGUGGCUAAGCAUAGUUCAGCUGAAUGCUUUAUCUUGUGUAACAAUAAGAAUAGCACAUAAAUAUCAAAAUAUUUCCAGAUAUAAGAAUAUUUUAAGGUGAAAACAAUCCCCCAAAAUUAAUUUUAAAGAUUCAAUAUUAAUGACAGAAUGAAAACAAUGAUACUAAUAAUAGAUCUUAAAAAUACUAACAUUCUGCAUGGCUCUGCACUACAGCCUUGAUUUGAGACACUGAAAAUGGGCUUACCCAUUCAACUGUGUUGAUUAAUAUGUGUUUUUAAAGUUUCAGUAGUCUGAUACCUUUAUCUUAAUUUAUUCUAAAAAUGAGAGUCAGCUCAUCGAGUCUAUGGAGACAUUUCUGGGUAUUAAAGUUUAUGGAUGACUAGCUGUAUGUACAAUAUUGUCAUAUUGCAGCCUUACCACUUAACAGAGUAUCUCUUAUAACUUAAAAAUGAAUCGAUCCUGUUUCCUUAAUGUAAUGGAUGGUGUAAUAACAUUGAAAUUCUCAUAUAUUGUAAUCUGUGUGGUACACUGAUAUGAAGUAUGGACAAAAUCUUCCUAAGUAUAUUUUAAUGUAUGAUGAUUACUGAGACUAGGCAGGCCAGAGCAGUAAUGCUUUUAUCUUUGUUGAGUUUUGUGUUGAUGUAUCCACAGUAAAA